AACGAACGCUGGCGGCAUGCCUAACACAUGCAAGUCGAACGAGACCUUCGGGUCUAGUGGCGCACGGGUGCGUAACGCGUGGGAACCUGCCCUUAGGUUCGGAAUAACUCCCCGAAAGGGGUGCUAAUACCGGAUAAUGUCUUCGGACCAAAGAUUUAUCGCCUUUGGAUGGGCCCGCGUUGGAUUAGCUAGUUGGUAGGGUAAAAGCCUACCAAGGCGACGAUCCAUAGCUGGUCUGGGAGGAUGAUCAGCCACACUGGGACUGAGACACGGCCCAGACUCCUACGGGAGGCAGCAGUGGGGUAUAUUGGACAAUGGGCGAAAGCCUGAUCCAGCAAUGCCGCGUGAGUGAUGAAGGCCUUAGGGUUGUAAAGCUCUUUUACCCGGGAUGAUAAUGACAGUACCGGGAGAAUAAGCGCCGGCUAACUCCGUG
rnacentral:rRNA from 1 species